UGAGAAUUUAACAGUUGGCUCUCAAAAGCUGGCAAAAACUGCCUCCAGCCCACCACCUGCCCGUAUCACUUCCACUUAGGUGGGAAAGAUGAGCUUCUUAUCAUAAAUGCUAUGACACUUGGCUGCUACAGUGAAACAUAUAAACAGGUGUCAGUACGUGUCUGUUUAAUGAAUGAAGAUGUUUAGAAGGUGUAGGGCCUGGGCGUUGCUUGCUCAGCAGAAACCCCCAGGCCCAUUGUAACCAUGUGUCCUUCUGGCUCCCUUCUGGGCAGGCCGCCCAGCUACUGGGAUUUGCAACGAUCUGGGCCUGGCCAGCCCCCAUUCCCCCUUAUCCCACGAGAAGAACAUCCUGUCUUACGGGGACACAGAGCUCCUCCAUGUGAGCUACUGUUCCUGGAACGCUAGUCGUACCAAGGACAGCCCUUUGGCAGGCAUGCAGCCUUCCUUCCUCUGCCUGCUUAAGCAAGCUUCUCUUAGGGGGCUGUUGCGGGCGUAUGCAUACUUCCAUCCAGCCGGCUGCCCACUGGACACUCUCCCUACAAGGAGGUGGCAACAGAAGGAAGCCUAGAGCUGUACUCAGGUCUUGCUCUGCAAGCACAGAAGAAGGCAGCCAUCCAUCAGAAGAAGCGCGGGGACACGCUGCACGAGACCAUCCCUUUGGUAAGAAGAGAAAAGAAGGAAGGCAGCCUGUGGUGGAUGUGGCGUGGGAAAGCGAGCAGGACGGGGGGCUGGAGAGAACGGAUGGAUGGAAUCCGCAUCCGCAGGGCACCUGCCGCCCCCCCCCUUUUCUCCACUCACUCCCGUUCCCUGAUGAUCACAUCCCACACUCUCCAUUGGCUUCAGCCCAGACCUCUCUCUUCUGAGCUCCAGACACUCAUGGCCAACUUCUUACUGGACAGUUCUACCUGAUGUCCUGCCAUCGUCCUUCACACUUGGCGUGUCUAAAACUGAAAGACUAAGAGUAAACUCCUUGUUUCCCUGUGUCCCUACUUCCAUUCCUGCUCUUCUUCCCGUGUUCCUGGGAACGGUGUCUCCACCCCUCCAACCUGUUGGAUCCGUCUCCUUACUAUCUCCACUGUCUCCCCAUUUUCUUCCCCACUGCCAGUGGCUUGGUUCAGGCCCUCAUUAUUGUUCACCUGCAUUGCCACAAUACCCUCCUUUGUGACCAGAUGUCCCUGCGCCCAGUCCUGCCCCUGUCAACCAUCCUUGGCACAGUGAUCUUGCUACAGCCCUGCUGUUGGGGGUGUGACUCCUGGACCGGCAGCACCCGCAUCACCUGGGAGCUUGUUAGAAAUGCAGAAUCUCGGGACCCAGAUUCUCUGCCAGUGAGGAUCCAUCUGAAGACAGAAACACCGAUAAUUUGAACAAUUCGAUUCCCUUUAUAUGACAUACAUGCUGUAUGUAACUUUUUGAGACUUGAGUUUUCUGCUCAGUAUAACACCUUUGUGAUUCAUUCAUGUUGUUUCCUGAGUAGGUUUCCAUUGUAUGGAUCCAUACAAUUUAUUUGUCCAUUUACUCAUUUGUUAUAUUAAAAUUGCUUUAUUCAAGUAUAGUCUUAAUGGACUGUAUGUAAAUUUAAAAAAUAAUUAAUAAACAAACAGUAAUGAGUUAUAAACUAUUGGAAACCAUGAAUUCAUGUUGAUAUAAGCAAGUAAACUCGAAGUGUCUUCCCCAAAACACUGUCUACAAAGGAAGAAAGAUUAACUUGAUGGUGGAGAAGCCAGGCUGACCCACCUUAAUGGAGUGAUCAAAGAUAACACCAUCAGCGAUGGACGAAGCUCAAUCAUUUACCAUUUGACGAGAUGCAGAUAGUGUGCAGAGCACAGAUAGACCCAUUUCCUGGGCGAGCAGUGUUUGCAGUUACUCAGGACCCCAUGCUUGGUUUCAUGCUCUGGUUUCAUGCACCAUCUUGAAAUUGUUAAUAGUUUUUUGACAAGGGGUCCACAUUUUCAUUUUUCACUGAGCCCUGCAAAUAAUGUAGCUGAUCCUGAACACAGCAUCACUUCUGUGAUGUUCCUGCCAAAGACGUAUAACCUGAAUUUGAUCACGAUGAAACACCAGACAAAACCAAAUCGACGGGCAUUGUAUAAAUUAAUCAGUUGCCUGUACUCUUCAAAAGUGUCAAUGUCCUGAAAGUCACUGAAAGACCAGGGAGCUGUUUCAUGUUGAAGGAGCCUAAAGACUCAUGACAAGUAACUGCAAGGCAGGAAGGAUUCUCUACAGGGUCCUUUGGCUGUAAAGGAUGUCAUUGGGACAGCUGGUGAAACUUGAGUGGGGCCUGAGGAUUAAAUAGCUGUAAUGUACCACUGUUAAUCUCCUCAUCCUGAUGGCUGUGUUGUGGUUGUGUAGGAGAGUGUUCUUGUUGUAGGAUCUCCAAACCUGAAUAUUUGAGGGGGAUGGGGCAUCAUGUUGGCAACUUACUCUCAACUAGUUCAGGAAAAGAGGUUCUUCAUAUUCUUUUUACAACUUGUCAUUAAGUUUGAGAUUGUUUCAGACAAGAAUGAGUGAGAGGUAGGGGAUAGAGUUGGGAAGAAGGAGGACUUCUCUAAUAAGGUGACCAGAGACCUGAAUGAAGUGAGACAGCAAGCCACAGGGUGUCUGGAGGAAGAGCAAUCCAGGCAGAGGGAACAGAAUGUGCAAAGGCUUUGAGGUGGAGCAUGCCUGGGGUAUUUAAGAAACAGCUAGGAGGCCAGUGAGGUUACUGCAGAGUGAUGGAGCAGGAGAGUGAUGAGGUCAGAGAGGCAAUGGGACCAAAUCCAAGUCCAGAUAAGGAUUUGGGGUUGUGUUCUCUGUGCUGGGGACACACUGGAGAGUUUGCAGAGGAGUGGCAUGAACCACUUAUGUUUUACAAGGGUCACUCUGGCUGCUGUGUGGAAAAUACACUAUAGAGUAACUAGAUUGGCAGCGUGGAGACCAGUUAGGGGACUAUGGGAAUAAAUCAUGCUCUGAGGGGUAUUUGGCCUGUGGGAACUUCCAGGAAGUCUUCAAAGAGCCCCGACUGGCCCCCAAGCACGGAGCCCGGGGAUCCUUCAUCCUCAGCAGCAGUCCCGUCAUCUGAUGGCUCCUGUCUUUCGUGCCCGUCUUCCCUUGGAGGCCUGCCAAGAGGCAUCGGGCGCAGAAGCUGCUCACCAAAGGGCAGCUCUGAUCAUGACUUGCCAGGAAGGUCGAGAAGCCAGCUGGUUGCAUUUUUCAUCUAAUUUUUCUAUUACUUGGCACAGGUGCUUAAGUGUCCUUUGAAAUUAAUUUAUCAUAGAACCAAAGACAAGCUCAGGGAGAAAGAUUGUUAACUGUCAGAUCGCGUCCCCUUACCGGGGGGCUGCCUGACAGCCACAGGCUCUUUUCUCCUGUGCAGAAGGCCUUUAAAUGAAAGGAUCUUGAGGUUUUAUCUGGUCUCAAUCAACAAAGAGAUCUGUGCACUGACCCCUGGUUUUUGGACCCGAAAGGACCUUGAUGAAGAAUGAUUCUAGUCCCUUCUUUUUCUGGACCUACCAGGUGAGCGACAAUUUACAGCCUGAUUGAUUUUGCUUUGCCCCAAACAUGCUCUCAACAGUCAUAUAGCCUCAGCAAGAGAAAGACCUGGAUUUAGGUCCGAGGAGUUGAGUUCAACAGCUGUGUCCUCUUCUUCCUUCUUGGAACCCCCAGUGAUCUCAAGGACAGCCCCAAAAGACAACUUCCUGUCUUUUGUGUUUGUACAAUGAUGUUGUAAUCUAUUGUGUGAUUCUUUUCCAACAUAAGUAUACAUUUAUGGUGCUAUACUUAAAACACUCAUUUUUAAAUCCAAGAACAGUGACACACUUCAAGAGCAACAUUUAAAAUGUUUCUCCCCUACCUUUAAUAAAUGCAUAUCUAUUUUAAAGUGCAUUUCACAUGUGAUCCUAAGCCUCUGGGGUAGUUAAUCCCCAGUUUACAAAGCAGCGACCUGCAUGAUUAGAGGGUGAUUGCUCCAGGAUGGAGACAAAGCCAGUGACCUUGGCAAUGGGUCAGCCAAGUGGAGUUGAGUGAUUUCCAGGUCAGGACUCAGGAAGAUGCACUGCCAAAGAGAGCUCUUCCCACUAUAUUUUCUUGGCUUGAUGAUGCCUGAAGUGGUUCUUAUUCAGCCCACGGUGCCUGUUCGUAUAAACACUAAGGACAGUGGUUUAGUUUCAAAUUUCGUUUGAAGAGAUUUACACCGUUCAAAGGUUAGGGAUGAAAAUACGAUUGCCUUCCUUAAUAGCUUUUAGGAUUAUAAUUCUGGGGAAGAUGAAGCAUUUAAUUCUAAAAAAGCAACAAAAAUAGUUAAGCCUUAACGUAAUAGCAUAGCCAUGAAUUUAACCUUUCAAACAAUUUACGAAAGACGUUAGGCACGCUGCAGUGCCUCGAUCUGUCAGACUCGUAGUGGCCCUUGCAAAAUCAUCGGCAUUCCCCAUGAUCACAAUUAUCUUUCCUGACAGCCAUUCUCAGAUCUAUUUGCUUGGGGCCCACACUUUCAAUGUAUAUUUUUUUACCUUAAUAGACUGAACAAGGAAACUCAGAAUAUCUGAGUCUUGAGUAUACUUGUCAUGUGACUUGAAGCUUCUGUGCACGUUAAUAUUCUGAUCUGGGGUUUAAUUCUCAUCUGUGUGUCGACCAAGUGUUUUGGGCUGUAUUGCAGCCCGCCACCUGUCAAAUUCAUGUGUUGAAGUCCUAACCCCCACUAUCUCAAAAGGUAAGUGUAGAUGAAGAGAAGGUCUUUCAAGAGGUAAUUAAGUUAAAAUUAAGUUUUUAGGGUGGGCUUUAAUCCAGUGUAACGGGUGUCCUUAUAAGAAGAGGAAAUUUGAACAUAGACGUGCAAA